rnacentral:rRNA from 1 species
UACGUAGGGGGCAAGCGUUGUCCGGAUUUAUUGGGCGUAAAGAGCGUGUAGGCGGCUUGGUAGGUCCGCUGUGAAAACUCGAGGCUCAACCUCGAGAUGUCGGCGGAAACCACUUGGCUAGAGUCCGGAAGAGGAGAGUGGAAUUCCCGGUGUAGCGGUGAAAUGCGUAGAUACUGGGAGGAACACCAGUGGCGAAGGCGGCUACCUGGACCGGUUCUGACGCUGAUGCGCGAAAGCGUGGGUAGCAAACAGG